ACACAUGCAAGUCGAGCGGUAGAGAGAAGCUUGCUUCUCUUGAGAGCGGCGGACGGGUGAGUAAUGCCUAGGAAUCUGCCUGGUAGUGGGGGAUAACGCUCGGAAACGGACGCUAAUACCGCAUACGUCCUACGGGAGAAAGCAGGGGACCUUCGGGCCUUGCGCUAUCAGAUGAGCCUAGGUCGGAUUAGCUAGUUGGUGAGGUAAUGGCUCACCAAGGCGACGAUCCGUAACUGGUCUGAGAGGAUGAUCAGUCACACUGGAACUGAGACACGGUCCAGACUCCUACGGGAGGCAGCAGUGGGGAAUAUUGGACAAUGGGCGAAAGCCUGAUCCAGCCAUGCCGCGUGUGUGAAGAAGGUCUUCGGAUUGUAAAGCACUUUAAGUUGGGAGGAAGGGCAUUAACCUAAUACGUUGGUGUCUUGACGUUACCGACAGAAUAAGCACCGGCUAACUCUGUGCCAGCAGCCGCGGUAAUACAGAGGGUGCAAGCGUUAAUCGGAAUUACUGGGCGUAAAGCGCGCGUAGGUGGUUCGUUAAGUUGGAUGUGAAAUCCCCG
rnacentral:rRNA from 1 species